UUAAGUUAUUAAGGGCGCACGGUGGAUGCCUUGGCACUAGAAGCCGAUGAAGGACGUUACUAACGACGAUAUGCUUUGGGGAGCUGUAAGUAAGCUUUGAUCCAGAGAUUUCCGAAUGGGGAAACCCAGCAUGAGUUAUGUCAUGUUAUCGAUAUGUGAAUACAUAGCAUAUCAGAAGGCACACCCGGAGAACUGAAACAUCUUAGUACCCGGAGGAAGAGAAAGAAAAUUCGAUUCCCUUAGUAGCGGCGAGCGAAACGGGAAGAGCCCAAACCAACAAGCUUGCUUGUUGGGGUUGUAGGACACUCUAUACGGAGUUACAAAGGACGACAUUAGACGAAUCAUCUGGAAAGAUGAAUCAAAGAAGGUAAUAAUCCUGUAGUCGAAAAUGUUGUCUCUCUUGAGUGGAUCCUGAGUACGACGGAGCACGUGAAAUUCCGUCGGAAUCUGGGAGGACCAUCUCCUAAGGCUAAAUACUCUCUAGUGACCGAUAGUGAACCAGUACCGUGAGGGAAAGGUGAAAAGCACCCCGGAAGGGGAGUGAAAUAGAACCUGAAACCGUGUGCUUACAAGUAGUCAGAGCCCGUUAAUGGGUGAUGGCGUGCCUUUUGUAGAAUGAACCGGCGAGUUACGAUUUGAUGCAAGGUUAAGCAGUAAAUGUGGAGCCGUAGCGAAAGCGAGUCUGAAUAGGGCGUUUAGUAUUUGGUCGUAGACCCGAAACCAGGUGAUCUACCCUUGGUCAGGUUGAAGUUCAGGUAACACUGAAUGGAGGACCGAACCGACUUACGUUGAAAAGUGAGCGGAUGAACUGAGGGUAGCGGAGAAAUUCCAAUCGAACCUGGAGAUAGCUGGUUCUCUCCGAAAUAGCUUUAGGGCUAGCCUCAAGUGAUGAUUAUUGGAGGUAGAGCACUGUUUGGACGAGGGGCCCCUCUCGGGUUACCGAAUUCAGACAAACUCCGAAUGCCAAUUAAUUUAACUUGGGAGUCAGAACAUGGGUGAUAAGGUCCGUGUUCGAAAGGGAAACAGCCCAGACCACCAGCUAAGGUCCCAAAAUAUAUGUUAAGUGGAAAAGGAUGUGGCGUUGCCCAGACAACUAGGAUGUUGGCUUAGAAGCAGCCAUCAUUUAAAGAGUGCGUAAUAGCUCACUAGUCGAGUGACACUGCGCCGAAAAUGUACCGGGGCUAAACAUAUUACCGAAGCUGUGGAUUGUCCUUUGGACAAUGGUAGGAGAGCGUUCUAAGGGCGUUGAAGCAUGAUCGUAAGGACAUGUGGAGCGCUUAGAAGUGAGAAUGCCGGUGUGAGUAGCGAAAGACGGGUGAGAAUCCCGUCCACCGAUUGACUAAGGUUUCCAGAGGAAGGCUCGUCCGCUCUGGGUUAGUCGGGUCCUAAGCUGAGGCCGACAGGCGUAGGCGAUGGAUAACAGGUUGAUAUUCCUGUACCACCUAUAAUCGUUUUAAUCGAUGGGGGGACGCAGUAGGAUAGGCGAAGCGUGCGAUUGGAUUGCACGUCUAAGCAGUAAGGCUGAGUAUUAGGCAAAUCCGGUACUCGUUAAGGCUGAGCUGUGAUGGGGAGAAGACAUUGUGUCUUCGAGUCGUUGAUUUCACACUGCCGAGAAAAGCCUCUAGAUAGAAAAUAGGUGCCCGUACCGCAAACCGACACAGGUAGUCAAGAUGAGAAUUCUAAGGUGAGCGAGCGAACUCUCGUUAAGGAACUCGGCAAAAUGACCCCGUAACUUCGGGAGAAGGGGUGCUCUUUAGGGUUAACGCCCAGAAGAGCCGCAGUGAAUAGGCCCAAGCGACUGUUUAUCAAAAACACAGGUCUCUGCUAAACCGUAAGGUGAUGUAUAGGGGCUGACGCCUGCCCGGUGCUGGAAGGUUAAGAGGAGUGGUUAGCUUCUGCGAAGCUACGAAUCGAAGCCCCAGUAAACGGCGGCCGUAACUAUAACGGUCCUAAGGUAGCGAAAUUCCUUGUCGGGUAAGUUCCGACCCGCACGAAAGGCGUAACGAUUUGGGCACUGUCUCAACGAGAGACUCGGUGAAAUCAUAGUACCUGUGAAGAUGCAGGUUACCCGCGACAGGACGGAAAGACCCCGUGGAGCUUUACUGUAGCCUGAUAUUGAAAUUCGGCACAGCUUGUACAGGAUAGGUAGGAGCCUUUGAAACGUGAGCGCUAGCUUACGUGGAGGCGCUGGUGGGAUACUACCCUAGCUGUGUUGGCUUUCUAACCCGCACCACUUAUCGUGGUGGGAGACAGUGUCAGGCGGGCAGUUUGACUGGGGCGGUCGCCUCCUAAAAGGUAACGGAGGCGCUCAAAGGUUCCCUCAGAAUGGUUGGAAAUCAUUCAUAGAGUGUAAAGGCAUAAGGGAGCUUGACUGCGAGACCUACAAGUCGAGCAGGGUCGAAAGACGGACUUAGUGAUCCGGUGGUUCCGCAUGGAAGGGCCAUCGCUCAACGGAUAAAAGCUACCCCGGGGAUAACAGGCUUAUCUCCCCCAAGAGUUCACAUCGACGGGGAGGUUUGGCACCUCGAUGUCGGCUCAUCGCAUCCUGGGGCUGUAGUCGGUCCCAAGGGUUGGGCUGUUCGCCCAUUAAA
rnacentral:rRNA from 1 species